rnacentral:rRNA from 1 species
AUUGAACGCUGGCGGCAUGCUUUACACAUGCAAGUCGAACGGCAGCGCGGGCUUCGGCCUGGCGGCGAGUGGCGAACGGGUGAGUAAUACAUCGGAACGUGCCCAGUAGUGGGGGAUAGCUCGGCGAAAGCCGGAUUAAUACCGCACACGACCUGAGGGUGAAAGCGGGGGAUCUUCGGACCUCGCGCUAUUGGAGCGGCCGAUGGCAGAUUAGCUAGUUGGUGGGGUAAAGGCCUACCAAGGCGACGAUCUGUAGCUGGUCUGAGAGGACGACCAGCCACACUGGGACUGAGACACGGCCCAGACUCCUACGGGAGGCAGCAGUGGGGAAUUUUGGACAAUGGGCGAAAGCCUGAUCCAGCAAUGCCGCGUGUGUGAUGAAGGCCUUCGGGUUGUAAAGCACUUUUGGCGGGAACGAAAAGGACUGUGCCAAUACCACGGUUCGAUGACGGUACCCGCAGAAUAAGCACCGGCUAACUACGUG